GACCUGAGCUCAGACAAGGUUACCCGCUGAACUUAAGCAUAUCAAUAAGCGGAGGAAAAGAAACCAACCAGGAUUCCCCUAGUAACGGCGAGCGAACCGGGAAAAGCCCAACUUGAAAAUCUCCCUUUGGAGAAUUGUAGUCUACAGAAGUGCCCUCUGUGGCGGGAGGAGUUCAAGUCCGCUGGAAGGCGGCGUCAGAGAGGGUGAGAACCCCGUCAACUCCUACCUUGCUACACCACGAGGUGCUUUCCACGAGUCGGGUUGUUUGGGAAUGCAGCCCAAAUUGGAGGUAAAUCCCUUCUAAGGCUAAAUAAUGGCGAGAGACCGAUAGCGAACAAGUACC
rnacentral:rRNA from 2 species